GUUUUAGUAGUUUAAAAAAAAACUUUGGUCUUGUAAACCAAAAAUGAAAAUUUUCCUGAAACU
rnacentral:tRNA from 1 species